UGAAAACCGCCCUGUCAAAGAGAAGACUUACAACACAGAAAUAGCAUUACAAGGUUUUAUUGUGUUUCAUACACACAAGUUUACACAUUAUACUGCUCCUUCAACUAAUGAAGCAAAACAUUCUUAAAGUUUACAAAUUGCAAGAGACUUAGGUCUGCAUACUUAUACCACUUCAUGAACCCUUCAUCAUUCCGAGUGCGCUGACACAUGAUGCAUGAGUCACUCAUGCAGGUUAGGAAUUUGUCUAACCUAGAUGCUUUUUCGAGAAUGGAUUCAUCAAGCUCGGUCAGAAUUUUCAUCGGUGCAGGUGGAGGAAGGUUUUCAGUAAUUAUGCAAUGCGAUAUGUUGAGCACUUUCAACUGUUUUAAUCCCUCUAAGAGAAUAACCAAAGCAGGUUUAGGUAACUCCGUACACCUCACACUAAACACUUUCAAGUUCGGAAGAAAUGAUACCAGUGUAGAGGCCAACAGCAUACCACAGGGACCCAUAAUCUUCAAUUCAGAAAGUUUUUUGCAACUCCUUCCAAUUUUCUUGAUGAUAUAUGCAGGUUCUUCUAAACUAGGCAUCGUCAGUGAUUCAAGAUCUUUCCAUUUACGAAAAGCACUGCAUAUUGUUGCCUUUUCUAGUUUUUCCCAAGCAGGCAUAACAAGGCGUUUAAGCCCUGGACACCUGAAAAAAAGGAGAUUUAAUUAGCUGUCCAAUUCAUUUUCACAGUAAUUUUUGCUUCUCCUGUAUUAAGUAUACAAUGGAAAAUUAUCUCAGAUGCUUGAAAUCUGAAACGAUGUUUGCUAUACAGUUUCUUGAUUUAAGGUAUAGUACUAUAGAAAGAUGAAAGUUUAUCAGGGGAAUACCUCUUGGCAGUAUAAGCCAAUUGAUUGUUGUCAACAUACAAAUUGAAAUGGAAGAUCAAUGUCAGUAUGUUUCCACGACUAAGGUUCAAACAAAUCUUUAGGAGGUGGGUCAAUUUUUCACGAGAUGGACUGUCGACAUAUACAUACGGUGGUACUGUAAUUCUAACAAAAUUUGACUGCAUUACUGACAAAUCCAGCGUUUUCCAGAGAAGUUGGUCAGAACAAGCCAAUUGCCAUGACCGACAAACUUGAGGAAUUAUAUCAAUAUCUUCAACAAUAUAUCAAUAUCAAGGUCCUCCCAUCUCCUUACAGGAGAAUCUCCUCCUUCCGUCACAACAGCUUCAAUCUUUUCUUGUUUUUGAAACGGCAUCAUAAAAGCUUCAAUCUCCUAAACUCCUGUAGAAACAAGAAAGUUAUUACUUCUCUAGAUCCAUGAAGAAUAUUUGAAUUCCUGACAUCAAAUUGAUGUUGCUUAUUGUCAUUUUGUGUUCUUGUGAAUAUAUUCAGACCAUGAAGAAUAAAAAGUUAAGCCCUACAAUACAAAGAAACAUAGAAGAGUGUACAAAUACGUCUGAGGAGCACUGUGAUGCCCAAAAGUGAAGAAACUAGGAAAACAUAACCUGGAACUUAAGUUGGUUGUAAAUAACGACAGAGGACUAAGUUCUUGCUGGCAUAACUGACGGAAGUAUCACAUUUUGGAUAAAAAUAAUCAUUACUGAAAGCAAAAUCAUAGAAAAUAUUGGAACUCACCUUACGUUCCUCAUAAACCUAGUGUCGUUAUUCUUCGCUAAGAUGGAGGCAGGUCACUUCUACUAAAGCCAUCUCUAACUUAACUUGGCCAGUGAACUCAACGAUUUCUAAUUAAAGGUAAGAUCAGUAAUAUCCUACCUUAUACUGUAUAUCCCUCCAACCCAAUUUCCAUACAUUUUUCAAUUGUCUUUCAAUUAAAGUAAGCAAAUUUAAUUCUGAGAUUUCAUUACGCUUUUCUCUUAAAUUUCUUUUCAUUAAUUUCUAAGCUGAAAUGUAAUUCUCUUCUGCAUCUUCUUGAUACAUUUGAUGAAGUUUUUUACCUCAACAGAAAAAAUAUAAUCUUAGGCUUUUCUCUUAACUUUCUUUUCAUUAAUUUGUAAGCUCAAUUGUACUUCUCUUCUGCAUCUUCUGGAUACAUUUAAUGAAGCUUUUUACCUCAACAGAAAAAAUAUAAUCUUAGUUUCCUCUUUUUCUUUCACUUACAUUUUAUAAGCAUAGUUCUAGCCAGUGUACCGGAAGCCCUUUCUACUUUUCUUAAAAUUAAAAACAAAAGUGAGCCUUGAAGCAAAUGUAUCUGUACCAUAAGAAUUGUAUAUAGACCUAAAAAUAUAUGAAUCUGUGCAGCAAACUACAGUUGAAAAUUAGCCAAUGAGAACUCAUAGACCAAGUGCAAAGCCCCGUGAAUUUCUACAAUUCAUUCGGGCUAGAAUCGACCUAAAGAAUGCAAUUUAAUUGAAUCCAAGCAACAUGAGGUGACUUGAGUGGAGAAAAUUUAUUGGGAUGCUUGGGGUUAUUUAUUUCAUAAACCAUGGAGAGUUGGAUUGAAGGGAAUACUUAGGAUUUUAGUUUUUAUGUAAUGAGAUGAGUGUUUGAAAUCUUGGAAUGAAUCAAAUUAUCCAAAUGAUUGGAGCAAUCAUUAUGUCAAUGAUAUGUUAUUUAAUCUUUAUGCAAACAAGGGGCCUUGAAAUAAGGAGGACGUUGGCUAAACUAAUGAGGAACAAUUAGAUAAGAAACUGAAUGGAAAGGGAGGAGCGACAUUCAGUAAUUGAUGCUUGUUUAGAACGUAUAUGCUGGGCAGUGAAGUUCUCCAAACACGCCAAAGCUAGCGUCCCAUAUUGUUGAAGCAUUUUAAAGGCUAUUACGGUGAACGAGAGUUUAUUAUUUUGGUUUUUGAUUGUUGAAGGUCUAGAGAGAAAAGAGAACUCACCACCAUAAAUGCUACAUCAAGGUGAGAAUUAAUGCAUUUCUUUGGUAUAUUUGGUUCAUUUAUUGCAUUCCCUUUUUCUCAACAUCAUGGGAACUUUGGAUUUUCGAAGAGCACAAGUCUAGAGAAUUAUAGGUUUUUUAUUUGGGUAAACUUUGUCUCCAUUGAUCAUUGAUGUGCAAAAAGUUAUAUUUUGAGUUAGGCAUACCAAACUUUGUACAAGAUCAUUGAGAAGAGACCAAUACGGUUAGUCCUAACCAAAAUACAAAUUCAAGGUGUUCAAUGGGGAGAAAACUAUAGGAUUUGACAAAAAGGUUAUCCCUUCACUCCAAUCUUAUAUAUCAUACUCCAUGGACAUAGUAGAGAAUUUUCAUAAAACAAGAUUUAUAUUUAAUUUGCUCCCUUGAACCUUAGAAAACUAGUCUUGAAAUUGGAUGUUUGUUGGUAAAAAUGAUGAAGAGUGAUGGGCCUUUGCUUAAACAAUAUCGCGUGGGAUUUCUAAUGGAGCAAUUAGAUUACAUAACAUGUUUAAUGGGUGGAUUGGAGUUAAAACUCAAGGUUUGACUUCCGAAUACAUAGAUUUUUGCUAAGACUUGUGAAGUUGAAUUUUAAGUGUUAGUCACUUGGUUGACUUAGUUGGGCAUUAUCGUAACGUGUUUAUGUAAGCUCGUUUAUGUGAAUUGUGAAUUGUGGAUGUCAAUCAUCAUUGGAUCCUUUGGGUUAUGUUUGGAAAGUGAGCCUUCAAGGCUUUUCCUCCAUACGCAUAAAGAAAUAGGGUUUUGAGAUGCAUCCUAAAUGUGAAUCCUAGCUUGUUUGGAUUGCACCAUUUCUUGCAUAAUAAAUGCCCAAGUGCUAUUGAUAUAAUGAUAUCAUUAUUCUUGAAAUGACGGGACAAAGUUUUGCUUCCAAAUUGCAAUGGGGAAAUGGAGUUAAAGAUCUGGCAAUUCACAACAAAUUCUUACUUAUGAAAUGGCAAUGGGGAAGGAUGUAAUCAUUGCUAAACAUGGUAGGAAGGACAACUGGAGCUCUAACACUGUAGUUCUGCUUUAUGGAGUUGGUCCUUGGAAACAUAUCAGUAUGCUAGGUCUGAAUUCUCUCAUGGAAUUCAUGUCAAACGGGGCUGGUGUGUAUAUCAAGUUCUGGAAGGAUUGAUGGCUCAACAAUACAACUCUCGUGGAGGAAUAUCCUAAUAUCUUUAACAUUGCUAUGAAUAAGGACUCCUCAAUUGCUCAAAAUAAGACAAACAACACUUGGGAUGCGCAUUUCAGAAGGUUGCAGGACCAGAAACUUGGGAGUUUAAUGGAAAAGUUAGCAAAGGUUGAAGCUCACAGUAUUGAUGAAAGUGAACCAGAUAGGCUAAGAUGGGGAAGCAAAGGUACAUUUCACAGUGAAAGAAUGCUAUAGACAACUAUGCUCACAAAGUCAAGUACCUGCUAGAUGGCCAUGAAAGUUAGUAUGGAAGACCAAUCUAUCUAUGAAGAUUAAGUGCUUCAGCUGGAUCAAACUAAACAAUGCUUGCCUUACUCUAGACAACCUGAAUAGGAAAGAAUUGCAGUUGGUCAACAGAUGCUAUUUUUGCAAGACAACUCAGGAGACAGUCCACCACCUGUUUCUUCACUGCCCAUGAGCAUAUGAUCAACGGAACAUGUUCCUAUGUUUUUUUUAAUGUAAGUUGGUGAUGCCACAAAGUUUAAGAGAUGCCAAGAUGUCUUGGAGUCUAUGCACAAUAGAUAACGCUAGACAAAAAUAUUUGUGGUAAUAAGAGUUCUUGAUAAACAUCAAUACACCCAAAAAUGUUGUGAAUAUCAGAAAUACCAGAAAAAAAUACUGGUAAAGAUUAUGAAACUUACCAAUUCAAGAAUAAAUAGAUUGGUGUCUGCUUGAGAAAGGAGGGGGAGAAGCGUGAAAACAUGGCAGAGAAGAGAAGCAAGAGGCAUGGAGGGUUUUGUGAAAUAAAGAGUGUUAUUAACACAAGUCUGAAUAAUAUUAAGACUCUGUUACAGAUAUUAUUCAUUCACACCUAAUAAGAUCCAUUAAGCGAUUUUAAACGAAACAAAAACAAAUGCACUUAAUGGGUUGAACCUAAAUCAAGAUUCAGAUCUUACAAACAAAUGCACUUAAUUGUCUGGAUCUGAACAAUUCAGAUUAAGACCACCAUUAAGUGCAAACGAAUGAGGCAUGAGUGAUGUUUGCCUCUAAAGUGCUAGUUGCCGACUGAUUUCCAUAGAGAGGGAACUAACAUUAGAGUUUUAGCAGCUAAUAUGAAGCCUACAUCAAUCUUUUCUCUCAUAUAAACUACUAAUCAUCUAUCUAUGGAGCUUAUAUGUUAGAUGCCUCAAAAUCCAAAUUUCUUUUUGAGAAAAGAAAAGAUGGAAUAACCAAAGCACCGUUUGCAUUUAACCUAUGCAGGUCAAAAAAUGAAGUUUACAAUUUUUUUGGAUAACGAUGAGAAGCUUGUAAAAACAUCAAAAGAAGCUACAUUCUUGAUAGCAGUAUUCAAAUUGAAUCAUUAUUUAAACAAAAUGAAAAUUCAGUAAAUCAAAACCAACCUUGACAAACAUUAAUAACAAGAAAGCACACAUUUUAUCAUAUCACACUAAAUUACUAAUUGAAAUGCAGGAAACUAAGAUAUACAAAUUGAGAGAACCUUGAAUUCAGAUUUGUAUGGGCAAAAAUCAAAUCGCCAGAAAAAGGAGAAAAGAAUUCCACAAGGUGUACACCGAAUUCCUUUAACACCCACAACAACUUUUGGAAUCAAGAUCCGACAUAUGUAAAGAAUUAAUCAGAAAAACAACCUUAAAGAAUGUAAGAAGAAGAUAAGACAGAGAGAGAUUUAGGACAUGCCUUUAGAUUGUUUAUUCCCUUCAGUGUGCGCAAGAAAUAUUGGGUGAAAAUUGAGGGAUGUUAGUGUGCUUUGAUGAGGAGUGAGAGUCGUGUACGAAAUUUUGGUCAAAUGGAAAUGGAAAUGUCAUCCACUUGUAAAUUGAUACUGGUCAACAAUCUUAAACAUUUUUUCCUUUUUUGCUAUCCUACCUGUUUUUUUUUUUUUUUUUUGAUAGCCGAGAAAUCCGUCUAUGACCCUCCCUUUGGACCAAUCACAGCCUUCUAAACUCGGUGGAUAAUGGGCCCGCCCCUCUACCCUUCUCCACUUAAAUACCGAGAUUCGCUUUGCAUGGUGUGGGGCUUGAACCUGCGACCGAAGCCACAAAUCCUCCACCUUUUACCACUUGAUCUAGGCCUUGGGGGCUCCUACCUGUUUUAUUGAUAAAUGACAAAAAAAAAUCUAAGUGAGAUAUUCUUUUGAGUUAAUACCUCUAAACUCCCUAAACUAUUCACAUUUUCCAGUUUAACACGUAUUGUGGACAGUUGUUGUUAACCCCUGAACUACAGACCACGUGAUAUGGAGAGUGACAGCCAAAAAGAGCAUUUAUGUGGACCUAGUACACUGUGUGAGGUCCGUCAUUUUCUCAGAUUCACCUCAUUUAGUGCAUUCCUAUUACUUGAACGACAACUUAUGUAAAUUGAUUACUUAAUUUUCUUUCUAUAAAUAUCAAAGUUAAAAUUGGCAAGUAAAUUCUAUCCAAUAUUGCAAUGAUCCUCCAGGUCAUUUUUGCCUUAAUUCCUCCUUUUCGUCGUUUAGAGCGUUCCUAUAGCGACCCCAAGUCAUUUAUGACUUGCUGGCACUGACAGUUCGGUCGUCCGGUUGUUCGUUUGGAUUUUGUGCAGCUUUCCGUGUUUUAGAGGCCUUGAAGCUUGAAUAGUGACUUUUAGUCAGUACGUCAGGUAAACGACCUCAGAAUGGAAUUUUGACGGUUCCAUCAGCUCCGGAAUGGCCAAAUUAGGCUAGUAUCAUGGUUGGCAUGAGUACCGAGGCUUUCGGUGCGAGUUUCGACCAUUAGGCAUUUUAGCCUUUGAAAUUUCGCCUAAGGUUGACUUUGGUCAACAUUCUUGGAAAACGUGCUCGGAUGAAAAUUUCGUCAGCGCGAUUAGUUCCAAAGUGUCAAGUUUGGUCUAGAACGACCUUUCAUUCGCUUCCCGAGGCUUCCGGUCUAAUCCCGAGGACCGUUGUGGAAUUGGGUAAAAAUGGCAUUUGGGAGUGGGACCCACUUUCUGACCUCUGAUGGAAAUUUUGACUGUGCCAUUGAGUCCGGAAUAUCAAUUUUGGUAUGUUUGCAUAUCUCGUUUGCGUGCACGGGGUUCCAAACGAGUUCGGAGCGCCUCGUCGGAGUUUUUAAGUUUCCGAAAUAUGCUGAAAAUCUGGUGUAUUUAUGCAGAAACUUCAGCACUUGUUCUAAAACUUUAAAAGGGCUUAACUCUCUCAUUUCAAGUCCAAAUUCAGUGAUUCAAAGGUUCAUCUUGUGGGGGUUUUCGCAAGGAACGCGUUGGUGCGCUCGGAAACUGAUUUGGGGUCCCCGUUUGAGGUAAAUUUCGUAAAAUACCUGCUGCCACGACCCCUUUUUGUGAGCUUGAUUUUGGAAUUUUUGAGACUUGCUUUCUCAGCCAUUUUAGGUCCGAUUUCAGUGAUUCUUGAGGCUAUCUUGAGUGGUUUUUCGAGGAGAACGUCGUGGUGUUGUCGGAAUUCACUGUAGACCUACCGUUUCUGGUAAAUUUACUGAUUCAGCUGCUGUCCCAUUUCUAGUUCUUGAGAAAAUCCGGGUUUUGGUUGCAUGUUGAUAUUGUGUUGUUCCCGAGCCCCGAAUUGUGUCCCAUUUUGGGACAUGAGCUCGGGGAACUGAUUAGGACCUACUUUUAGGGUUGAUUCCAGAAUUUCCAGCGCGGGUCCCACUUUCGCCAUUUUGACCCCGAAAUUGGCCCGUCUCCGUUUCUUGCGAUUUUAGUGUCUAAACGACCGUAAUAACGUUGUGACUCCAUUUUUGAUAGCGUGGCAGCGUUUCGAGGCCGUUCGGAAAGGAAAAGCUCCGGAGUAGUGAUUUUGGAGCGCGCGUGAUCGGCCUACAGGUAGGCUACGGCUUCCCUGUCUUAGAUUGAGCUCGAGAGUGUGAAUGCAUGUUGAUUAGCUGGGAUUUUGGUUGGUAGUUAUUGAAUCAUGCAUAGGUGUUUAGAAAUCAUGUUUCGGCCUCUUUCGGGAAUUAUCAGGUAACUGUGAUUAUGCUAUGUGUUACUAAUUGACCCUCCUUGUUAUGUGGAGUGCCUGUAUGCUUAAUUACUGUUUAUCUGAAGCAUGUUGGGCCUUAGUUUAGGUUUGACUAGGGCUUGCCUUAGAAAUACAUGGUUCAAAAUCGAUAGGCCUUAGUUUUUUCCCGACGUCGCUCGGCCGACUUACAUCCCUGUAGACUGGUGUAGCAGACUUGAGUCUGAUAGUUUGGGCCUUAGCUAGGCGAUACGCUUGCUCCGACGAUAGUUAUCCUUAUUUCCCCGAUGUUACGGCUUCACGAGUUACGUCGACGACACUGGUUCUGCUUCGUGAUUUGAAGUUGGUUUUCGAUUCGGGUUCCAAGGACUUACAUUGAUUGGCUAAGUGUGGACGGCAUUCCACGGACAUUUAUGAGCAUGGAUCAAUUGAGACUCUUUCAACAGCUACAUUGGCGCCUUUGUCGGGCAUCCGGAUUCGUGCUCCGUCCUUGACCUCAUUGAUAUCUUCAAAGAGCAUUCGGUUUAAGGUCCAGCCUCUAUCGCCCAGAUACUUAUAUAGAGCAUCCGGUAAGAGGUCCGGCCUCAGUUACUUGCUACUUGUGAUUGGUUACUUGGGUACUUCUAGUGAGCAUCCGAUUCGAGGUCCGGCCUCCGUACUGUCAGAUUCUACUAAUUGGGGUUGAGGUUCUGGUUCGAUGUUCUCCGUUCUUGGGUUCUCAUAUGCAAUUCUCUUUAGUUAUAGUUAUUCUGUGUACUCGUCGGGCUUAUGGGGGUCCGUUCGGGGUUUUAAUUAAACUUGCGCAUGAGUGUACCUUCUGGGCUUUUGGGGGUCCAAUUAGGUGUAGUUAGCUUAUAGAUUACUUUAGUUAGUUCUUUCUACACUCGUGUGCAUUCCAUUGUUACUUAGAUUUCCGUUCUUGACCUCUGUUUGUGUUAUUCCUUCUUUUCAUAUUGCCUUUACUUUUCAAGUUUGAUGCCUACUGGGUACCUUCUGUUUUGGUACUCAUGCUACGCUCUGCAUCUGUUUCGUGAUGCAAGUCCGAGCACCAGUGGCCAGCGUUGAUCCAGUUUGGAGUAGUCUGAUCCGGAGACGGGGGUGAGCACACAUCGUUUUGUACUAUUUCAGUCUCCAUCUGUAUAUACAGACUUAUCUUAUACCUUUCGAGACAGUCUAGUCUCUGUGGUCCACUUUUGGGACUUGUGCUCGUUUUGCUAGUAGCUCUGUACUAGUGACUUCCAGGUUCUGGGAGGGAUCUUUAUUUGUAUAUAUGUUUUGGUUUGCUUCCGCCUGUUUAUAGUGUUAUCUUAAAUUUUGCCUACUCUUAUUUAGUUUCUGCCCUCAGACCCAUUACUUGUUGUUCCGGGUUACGGGUUGGCUUACCUGCUAGUGGGUUUAUAGUAGGUGCCAUCAUGACUCGAGGAAUAGGGUCGUGACAAAUAUAGAAUUAUAUUUAAUAUUUCUCAGUUUUCAGAGAGGAUUUCAGUAACGAUCUACACCCUCUUCUUUGAAAGACUUAAGAGACGUAGAUUCUCUAAAUUACUUGACUUUCAUAUUCCUUCAACUAAUCACUCCCGUAAAAUUAUCAGAAUAUAAAAUCAGUAAUCCUUUAAGUGUCUAAUCAGUAAAGUGACCAACUAAACAUUUGACAAUGUUUUAGUCGUUGGGCUCACAAGUCUAUGAAUUCAAAGAACAUGAGACUCUUACUGUUAUUAAUUAUACACACCAAAGUAACAUUGAAAGAUUAUGUAGUACUUGUUAUUUUUUUUUAAAAAUCUAUAGAUUUUUUAUUUUUGAAGAUGAUCUUUUACCUUUGCAUGUUAAAGCCAUUUACCUUGUCUUCAGUUCCUAGUAAAAUGAUAUAAAUGGAAAUCAAUCAGCUACAUCUUUAAAAUGAGAUUAGAGGAAGUUGUGAUAAAAAUAAUUCUAGUGAACAUGCAUUCAUAAUCAAGAAGAGAUUUAGCCGUUUGAAAUAUGUCAAUUGCAUUAUUUUGAAAAUCUUCAAAUCAUCUAAUUUGAUUUUACGUCAAGAUUCAAGUGAUACAAAUGAAAUUUACACAAAUCUAAUGACGUGUCUGCAAGUGUUUGUAACAUUUGCAUUUAUGAAAGGAAAAGAGAAAAAGAACAAGAAAUCUCUCGAAUGGUAUCCAAGAGUUCUUAUGAGCAUUUAAAUUUGAUAAUGAAAAUAUAUAAUUCUUAUGUGAGAAAUAGGAUUUCUUCUUCUUUUCUAAAAAAAAACAAGAUAAAUGAGUUAUAUGAGAGUUCUUAAAGUCAUACUCUAAACGAAAAGGGUUUAAAAAUGUCCUAAAGUAUUGUAAAGGAGAAAAAGCUCACAACAAUCCACUAUUAUUUGGACUCAAAAUGAUUCUAUUUCUUUCACAUGGUGCACUUUCAGGCAUUACCCUUACUAUGGUGAAUUUUUUAACAGAGACUAAACUCCAUAUGUUUCUCACGUGUUUCUGAUCCUAAUAUCUAACCUCCAUUCUUCUCUUCCCUCUUAACUCAGACCAUCUGUAGGCAAACAUAUACAUAUAGAACUAAAGAUAUAUGGUAGUCUUGUUUGUAACUUCUUCUUUGUUUGCUUCCACAUGACCUGCUCGUGAUGGAUUUUCAACCGAAUCAAACUUAGUGAACUUCUCGAAGUCCACCUCUGUAUGAAGGAAAAUUUGUUUAAAUUGCCUAGAGCUUUUUUGACAGUAUUAUUUUUCGACGGUCCUUUGACCUUUAGAUGGCUAACAGGGUCUUCCUAGCCUUCCAUAACAACUAAUUAAAUUCUCACCUAUAAUCACUACAAGUUAAUUACUUAGUACGUAAAUAUGUUUCUGGUUGAAUGAUUGGAAGUUCAUUACCAGCAAGGCUUGCUAGCUGUUGUUAAAUGGGUUGAGGUUCAAUCGACUAGGUAACAAUAUUAGUACAAGUCAAAAGCUGUAAAUUGAGUUGGCUGUGAUAAAUUCUCCACACAUGGUAUAGUAUGACUAAUUUAGCAGAAAACUAAAUAUUUGCAUAAAGCUUAGAACUUUCCACAACAAAAAUCUAAAAAUUCAAAUUCAAAGCUUUACAUAUAAAGUAAAUCAAAUGAAAAAAUGAAGAUUCUGGCGAAAGGAAACCUACCCAGAAGACAAAAUAUCUUAUAACACUAUGAAAAUUACCUGCUCUGAGAAAUAUGAUAGAUCUGAGCCUUAAUUGCCAUCUUCUUUGAAUCAAACCCAUCACUUCCUCUUCAGAUUUCUCUCCAAGCUGAAUUGUGGGUGGCAUCUCUUCCUCGAAAUCUGUGGUGGCAACCAUGAUCAGCUGAACCAGAAAUCUCCGAGACAACAUAGUAGAAAGUAAAAUAUGUUGUCAGAGAGAGGUGUGAUUGAAUCUUUCAGUAUUUUCCAUAGAUCUACAGCCAUACUUGUACUUGGAGAAGAUGAAGAGGAGGAGACUAUAGCCUCCUCCCACCACUGAAUGAAAUUGAAAAUUAACAACACAAAAAAUUUAACACCUUUUUUUUUUUUUUAAUGAUUAUUGGAUUGUGUGUGUUGAAAAAUAAUCAACACAACAAUUUUAACACCCAUUUUUUUCAUGUAUAAACAAGAGAAAUAAAAAAUGUGAAUGGUAAAAGAGAAAAAAGACAGUAAGAAAAAAAAUGUAAAAUUACUUUUUUGGCUAUAUUGUAAUUUAAUUUUUAUAUCUAAAGAAAUAAUUGGAGCAUCUAUAUUACAAGAAAAUAAGUAAAAAAAUAAAUUUGAUCCGUCAAAAUAAUAAAUUCAAAUUAGCAGUUAAAGAGUUAAAAAAAAAGCUCUAAUAAUUUGAACGAAUAUUACAACAAUUACAACAACAAUACAUUUGUUGAUUAAUAAUAUAUUUUUUUGUUUUACUUAAUAAUUUAAUAAUUACUCAUUUAAUAUAUUUUUGGUAAAUUUAAUUUAAUAUUCAACUAAGCCUAGAUUUCUACCGAAUCCGAAAAUCUUUUCUUUACUUGAAAGAGUAUUACUUUUUUUUCUUUCUAAAAAUAAUCCUUCCUAUCAUUCUUUUACAAAAAUAAUUCAUUUCAAUCUUCAAUUCUAUCCUCCCGACGACUCUUUUGUUUUUCCUUAAUAUAACUAGCUAUAUUAAUAUAGCUCCUAAUACACAUGAAGGAGAGGUAUCACUAUUUUCGUUGAGGUUGUCACUCGAGGAUCUAGUUGGUGUUCAAGGCUUAUUGAUGAUUUCAAUUCUCAAAAAUUAUAUUUUCACCUAAUUGCAACAAAUAUUUUUCUCUAAAAAAUCAGCAAUGAAUAUCCUUUCUUUACCACUGAAAUGCUAAUUUAAUCUUAUCUAUAUAUGAAUUUGUUGAUUGUGUGCUGAACAAAUUUAGCAUGAAUAGUUUGUGAAUUUGUGUAUUAACAUUUUCUUCUUUUGGUGUUAUAUACGUUCGUUAGUUUUGAUAUCUAUAUUGGCUCUCAAUUGCUUUGCUUGUGCAUUUCGAAGGCAUGAAGUUUAAUUUUGUUCAUUUCGUAAUAACGUUUUAAUGUUCCAUGCUAAUUAUGAGAUUUAUGCAAAUUUUAAAGUCGAACGAGAUUUGUUUGGUUAUUCUUUUCACUAGUUUCUUCAAUGAUUUUAGUAGUUUAGAUAUGAUACUCACAAUACGACGAUGGAAAAACUAACAUGUUUGGACAAACUUUUAAAAAUUGACUUACACUGCGAUAAAGUCUUUUGGUAAAUAUCUAACGUUCUGCUUAAGAUUCAAAGGAACAAGAAUUUAGGGAAUACAGUAUAGAUGCUAAUACAUUUUGUUGGCUACAAAUUAUUUUUCUCAUUGCUGUUCGUAUCUAUAGAAAUAAUUUCAAGAUUUAGCACAAUAUGAAAGAUAUAGGUACUGCUAAAUUGUUUCUCUAUUUUAAGCUUUAUACUAAUUUCUUUCUUUCUUUCUUCGUUUAUGAGUAUGUAAAAUGAGUAUUGUUCAAUAUUUACAAGCAAACGAAUAUUACUAAAGUGCAACAAAUAGUUCAGUUUGUAAUAUAAUGACACAAAAGAGGUCAAGUGACUCCAUCAUACAUAAGCAAAUAACCUUAACUACUUAAUUUUGAGAAGAUCAAACUUUCUGUAUAAACGAAUCUUUGCUGAAUGAUAUCAGAUUCAGGCCAUAAUCCAAACAGUGCUUUGAAUGUCCUAAAGACAUAAUAACAACCAUGUGAAUCACGUCUGCAACUCAGUAGCACUUCAUCCGAAAACAUAUAUUUUGAUAUGGCUGAUUUAAGAUCGAUAUCUUUAUAGUAAACAAUUCAAUUCCAAGAUUCGUUGACAUAGUCUUUCAUUACCUAAAACUCAAAAAUGUCCUUCUUAUCAGACACAUAAUGAGAAUAAGCACAAAGCAUUCCUCCCAAUUCUGAAACACUCCGUACGAAAAAGUUAGAGACAAUUGAGUACAUUGACUCUAGCAAUGAUAUCUCUUUGUACACCUUGUCUGAAAAUACUAAAUGACAUCACAAAAUAUUUCGUUAAUGAAUGAAAUAAGCCAAUGAAAUGCCCCAUGGACAAAUACUAAAGAGUCAGUAGAUGUGAUCAUAGGCUGAACAUUAAUAGGAUGUUUAUCCGUUAAUCUCAAGGAACCACUUUUCAACGUGAGAAUUUCACUGCAUGAUUUGUCAUCAAUCUUAAGGAUCUUAUAGUCAUCACUAGUUGAUUCAUAUCCCAAUCCCCUAGUAUAAUAGUCCCUUGAGAAAAUUUUCGGAUGGGGGAGGACUAUUGAUUCUCUUGUGUACGGAUUCUAUAGCAAAGGUAGAAAGUGUACUUUGAAGUUAUAAAACCUGAUAAAUGCCAAGCCAUGGUAACAACAAUAUAAUGUUCAAUGCCAUGAUUUACUAUUAGAAGGACAAUCAAGUUUGUAUACUUGCUCAAUCUGUUGAACUGAUGAUAAAGAAGAACAAUACAAGGAAAAUUCCUCAUAUUUAGGGUACCAUUGGUUAACAAGGAUCUUUUGGGAAUUUUUGUCAUUCUUCGCAUGAUUGAGAUGCUUCGCCGAAAAGUACGGCUUAUAAAUCAUUGUCAUCCACAUUUGAAUCGUAGAAGUGACUGCAUAGGUAACUUGCUGAGGAUGUCCGGAGUCACAUCAACAUACAUCUUCUUUUGUUUUCUUUAAUUUGAAUGUUUUGUAACUCUUUUCCCCUAAAAUUAAAAAUUAAAGACUCAACCUAAACAACUCGUCAACUUAAAUUGAAAAUAGCCGGGCAUUGUAUAAUAUAUAUAAUCCAUCAAAAGAUAUUCGGCAAAAUAAUCGAGAUAGUAGUGUACCAUUGAAAAGAAGUUGCUUCAACUUUUCUCUAUUGCUUAUGAUUUCCUAGCUAAGGUUUGCUAUUGCGAAUGAUCUAAUUAAGGCCGCUCAUUGAAAAAAGUGGUUUGGUCGUUAAUUAUCUUUAUAAUAUUUACUCCUAAAAUAUAUGGCAAGAAAAAGCGUUCCAAGAUAUAUAGGAAGAAAAAGAGUCCAGUGUUCUUUUUUUUCAAAAAUAUUCUUUUGAGGAGAAAUAAUGUGUUGGGCUGAUUAAUUUAAAAAGCCCUUUAAGUAACAAUUAGUGUAUGACCAAACUUUUUUAAAAAAAAAUUCACUCACAUACUCUCGAAAGUGUUUUCAAAAAGAGCGCUUUUGAAGAUCUACUUAUUCCGACUUCGAAAGAAACAAAUUCUGAUACUUUCCAAAAACACUUAUUUUCAGAAGUGUUUCGAAGUGCAUCUUCUCAAAAAAGUGUUUUUGAGAAGAAAAAAAAGACUUUUUUCAACUGUUGAAGAACAACUUUGCUACUCCCCAAAUAUACUUAUUUUCUCUAAGCUUUAGCAGAACCUCAUCCUUUUUUUGUUGUUGAGAAAUAAGCUCUUUUCGUCUCCCAAAAGGUUGUCAAACAUGCUAUAAAAUUACGUCUGCCAAUACAUACGUAAAUAGAUAAUGAAUCUACAGUGUACUACGGAAACGGAGAAACAACAAGCAUAAAAGAACAUAGAAACAUGAAGAACAUGAAAACCACCCAGUCAAAGAGAAUAGACUUACAACACAGAAGUAGCAUUAAAAGGUUUUAUUGUGUUUCAUACACACAAGUUUACACAUUAUACUGCACCUUCAACUAAUGAAGCAAAACAUUCUUAAAGUUUUCAAAUUGCAAGAGACUUCACCUCAUCCACUUUCCAGAGGUCUGCAUACUUAUACCACCUCAUGAACCCUUCAUCAUUUUGAGUGCGCUGACACAUGAUGCACGAGUCACUCAUGCAGGUUAGGAAUUUGUCUAACCUAGACGCUUUUUCCAGAAUGGAUUCAUCAAGCUCGGUCAGAAUUUUCAUUGGUGCAGGUGGAGGAAGGUCUUCAGUAAUUAUGCAAUGCGAUAUGUUGAGCACUUUCAACUUUUUUAACCCCUCCAAGAGAAUAACCAAAGCAUGUUUAGAUAACUCUGUACACCUCACACUCAACACUUUCAAGUUUGGAAGAAAUGAGACCAGUGCAGAUGCAAACAGUAUAUCGCAGGGAGCCAUAAUCUUUAGCUCAGAAAUUUUUUUGCAACUC
rnacentral:lncRNA from 1 species